AUACGUAGGGAGCGAGCGUUGUCCGGAAUUACUGGGCGUAAAGGGCGCGUAGGCGGCGCCUCAAGUCGUCUGUCAAAUGGGAGGGCUUAACCCUUUUUCGCAGACGAAACUGGAGAGCUUGAGAAGCAGAGAGGCAAACAGAAUUCCUGGUGUAGCGGUGAAAUGCGUAGAUAUCAGGAAGAAUACCAGUGGCGAAGGCGGUUUGCUGGCUGCAUACUGACGCUGAAGCGCGAAAGCCAGGGGAGCAAACGGGAUUAGAUACCCCGGUAGUCCUGGCAGUAAACGAUGUAUGCUGGGUGUGAGACUAGCGAUAGUUUCGUGCCGAAGUUAACGCGAUAAGCAUACCGCCUGGGGAGUACGGUCGCAAGAUUGAAACUCAAAUGAAUUGACGGGG
rnacentral:rRNA from 1 species